UGAUUAUAUGCUAUAUACCCUUCUACGUAUGAGUUUUAAAGCGGUGAUUCCGGGGACGGAAUCCUUAUAAGGGAGGGUGAAUGUAAUAACCCGAGAUUUCCUAAAUAAAAUAAAUAAGAAAUUUGCGUAUAAUUUUUUUUUUAUUUAUUUAAUGACGAGAAUAAGUGUCUAGUAAUGUGAACGAUAAAUGCGAAUAUAUUUAUUACUUGAAAAAUUAGAAAUAAUUUUGGAAUUAUUAAUUACUACAAAUUAUAUUUUUAUGGUAAUUAAUUUCUGUAAGCAG
rnacentral:lncRNA from 1 species